AUAUUACUCCCUCGGUCUGGAAAUAUUCGUCGGAGGAAUGGAUGCAUCUAGAUGCGUCCUAGUUUCAGAUACAUUCAUUUUUAUUCAUUUUGGCGACAAGUAGUUUCGGACGGAUGGAGUACAUU
rnacentral:pre_miRNA from 1 species